UACGUAGGGUGCAAGCGUUGUCCGGAUUCACUGGGCUUAAAGGGCGCGUAGGCGGGCCAGUAAGUCAGUGGUGAAAUCUCCGGGCUUAACCCGGAAACUGCCAUUGAUACUAUUUGUCUUGAAUACUGUGGAGGUCAGCGGAAUAUGUCAUGUAGCGGUGAAAUGCUUAGAUAUGACAUAGAACACCAAUUGCGAAGGCAGCUGGCUACACAAAUAUUGACACUGAGGCACGAAAGCGUGGGGAUCAAACAGG
rnacentral:rRNA from 1 species